AGAGGGUUUUGGAGGACUUAGCAAUUGUUUUUCAAAGUCAAGGUUUGUAUCAGUAAUUUGGAUUUUAUAUAAUAUAAUUAGAGUUAGCAAUUUUGACUAAUUCAUGUAUUUGGUGUGACAUUUAUGGUUGAAAAUUUGAAACUAUUUGGAUUAUUCGGUGUGCUAAGUGUAUACGAAAUUUUGUGAUAAACUAAUGGCAUGGUUUAGAGAUAUCUAGUUUUUAGCACAAGAGAGUUUCAAAAGAUGGUAGUUUGAGGUUGGGUAGGAUUUCUAUGAUUUCUGAAGAUCUAUCAAUCGGAUUAAGAUGAAAAUUGGCAUGAUCUUGGAAGACUUGAAGAUCAAGCUACACACCAAUUUUGAAACAAAGUUAACGACUAAAAAGGGUAUGAUGUUGGAAAGAAAUCAUUACUAGGAUUUCUGCUUCACUUUUCAAGUUAGCGGCCGAGUGACAUUGGUACAAUUUUU
rnacentral:lncRNA from 1 species